UCAAGAACCUUCCGCAAUGGACGAAAGUCUGACGGAGCGACGCCGCGUGAUCGAAGAAGCCCCUCGGGGUGUAAAGAUCUUUUAUGCAUGAAGAAAUUAUUGACAUUAGUGCAUGAAUAAGGGGCUCCUAACUCUGUGCCAGCAGGAGCGGUAAUACAGAGGCCCCAAGCGUUAUCCGGAAUUAUUGGGCGUAAAGGGUGCGUAGGUGGUUAUGUUAGUCGCGUGUCAAAAAUCCAGGCUCAACCUGGGG
rnacentral:rRNA from 1 species